rnacentral:rRNA from 1 species
UACGGAGGGUGCAAGCGUUAUCCGGAAUCACUGGGUUUAAAAGGGUGCGUAGGCGGCGCUAUAAGUCAGAGGUGAAAGGCCACCGCUUAACGGUGGGACUUGCCUUUUGAUACUGUAGUGCUUGAAUCAGGCUGAGGUCGGCGGAAUGUGACAUGUAGCGGUGAAAUGCUUAGAUAUGUCAUAGAACACCAAUUGCGAAGGCAGCUUGACUAGACCUUGAUUUGAACGCUGAGGCACGAAAAGCGUGGGGGAGCGAAACAGGGAUUAG